rnacentral:rRNA from 1 species
AGUGAACGCUGGCGGUAGGCCUAACACAUGCAAGUCGAACGGCAGCACAGUAAGAGCUUGCUCUUACGGGUGGCGAGUGGCGGACGGGUGAGGAAUACAUCGGAAUCUACUUUUUCGUGGGGGAUAACGUAGGGAAACUUACGCUAAUACCGCAUACGACCUACGGGUGAAAGCAGGGGAUCUUCGGACCUUGCGCGAUUGAAUGAGCCGAUGUCGGAUUAGCUAGUUGGCGGGGUAAAGGCCCACCAAGGCGACGAUCCGUAGCUGGUCUGAGAGGAUGAUCAGCCCCACUGGAACUGAGACACGGUCCAGACUCCUACGGGAGGCAGCAGUGGGGAAUAUUGGACAAUGGGCGCAGGCCUGAUCCAGCCAUACCGCGUGGGUGAAGAAGGCCUUCGGGUUGUAAAGCCCUUUUGUUGGGAAAGAAAAGCAGCAGGUUAAUACCCCGCUGUUCUGACGGUACCCAAAGAAUAAGCACCGGCUAACUUCGUG